rnacentral:lncRNA from 1 species
UUCCAUUCUCUUGCUUAACCUGUUGGUGAAUAUUUCCCUAAACAUGGGCUGUACAUGGGGGCAGCUGAGGUGCCAGCAGUUCUCCAGCCUCUGUGGUCUUGAAUUAUCUCAGAGCCCUUGGCUGAAAUAGUGCUUCAGGACCUGCACCAUGGUACCCUCACUAUCUCUGUUAGGGAGCUCAGCAGCCACAUCGCAAUGUUGCCUCUAGACUCCAGAUUAUUAACUCUGCAGAUGCCCACCAGGUCACAUUAAGUGCUCUGCUGAGGUUCAGACAGGAACCUUCAGUACUUACAGUGCCCUUCUGACCUGGACCAGAGCUCAUAUUUGCCAGGACACCCUCCAGCCAGCUAACCAGUAUUUAAGACAACUUCAGCCAGACACAGCACUCUAUAAAGCUCCUAAGCAGAAGUAAUAACAGAAGUGACUGUUAAAGAAACAGAGUAAACAAAGUUUUUCCUACCUUUCUGUUCUACCCCUUUAUCUUACUUUCACCUAAGUUUCUCUUUAGCUUUCUCUUCUUCUGGUGGGUUCCAUUCUUUCAGGCUGAGGCCCAUUACUCUUCUAACUCUGUCCUAGUAUCCUAUGAGCCAGGAAACUUCCCAACUUUUUCUUCCCCCCUCUAUCCUACACUACUUCUCUUUCAAAAAGUAGAAAAAACACAACCCUUCCCUUGAAGCCCCCUCCUCCCCAUCCUUUUAAAGGAUUGUUGUUCCCAGCCCAGGCAGCGAGUGGCUUUGAUUGCUGGUGACUGGGAUCAGCUGAGGAAGGGAGGGAUCCGUGAUUCAUCACAGAUAAAGCUAAGUGCAGAUACCAGCCAUUUUUCUUCUAUGCCAAAAGCUUUCUGUGCUGGGGGCAGCUGCUAGUAGGCUGCCUGUGCAUACAGGGAUGCUUUCUAAGAUCAAGACCACUCAUCCCCAAUUGUCCAGGCAGCCAAUAAGGCAGGAUAAAUGAGGAUCACCAGAAAGUUGCCUGCUCUGCCAUGCUGUGCUCCCGUAGUACAUCCCAGCCCCUUGGGUGCCAUACGCAGCCACAUCGCCGACAUCCCCCUGCAGAUGGCCUCCCUGGCUCAGCCACGUACCUGCUUAGCUUCAAAUCAGAGGGAUCCACGAGCCUUUAUUUUUAUUCUACUUAUGCCAGGACACAUUUUUGCAGGGGCUGAGUUUCCAUCUGCAUUCCCCAAGAGCGGGCCGGGCCUGGUUUCUCAGGAAGGAAGAGCUGCGGGGUGUUGUCUGCGCUGAGGCAAACCUGGCGACCCGCGAGGGGCUGGCUGACUGGAAGGGCUUGGCUCGGAUGCGCCUGGCUUGCCCAGGAGAAAGAUAAUAAACAGAAUGAGGAGAGCA